CAGAGAAUUUCCUGUCCUCCACAUUCUCCACAAUCGCUACAGGAGAAAGACUCUUCCAGGACACAGUGAGCCGGGCUGUCUCAGACCAUCUCAGAGGGGCCAUCUGCCCAGGGUGACUCCAGCAGUAACAUCGCCAUCUACUGGGCCGCAGAAGGGGACAGCGCCAGGAGCG